GACGAACGCUGGCGGCGUGCCUAAUACAUGCAAGUCGAACGAGAGCGACCGGUGCUUGCACUGGUCAAUCUAGUGGCGAACGGGUGAGUAACACGUGGGUAACCUGCCCAUCAGAGGGGGAUAACAUCCGGAAACGGAUGCUAAAACCGCAUAGGUCUUCGAACCGCAUGGUUUGAAGAGGAAAAGAGGCGCAAGCUUCUGCUGAUGGAUGGACCCGCGGUGCAUUAGCUAGUUGGUGAGGUAACGGCUCACCAAGGCCGUGAUGCAUAGCCGACCUGAGAGGGUGAUCGACCACAUUGGGACUGAGACACGGCCCAAACUCCUACGGGAGGCAGCAGUAGGGAAUCUUCCGCAAUGGACGCAAGUCUGACGGAGCAACGCCGCGUGAGUGAAGAAGGUUUUCGGAUCGUAAAACUCUGUUGUUAGAGAAGAACAAGUGCUAGAGUAACUGUUAGCGCCUUGACGGUAUCUAACCAGAAAGCCACGGCUAACUACGUG
rnacentral:rRNA from 1 species